GCCAAACCCAGAGACUGCAAAGCCCAAUGGCUUCAAGGGCCAGGCAGGAAAGGCAGAGCUGGGAAGUGGCAGUGAGGAGCAGGGACACUCAGGCCCCAGCCUCUGAACUGAAGCCACACACUCUGUGUGCUUCUUCUCGGAGCCAGAGGUCCACACCAAGCCCCAGGAAAAGCUCCUCUCCCUCAUUUCUGCCAGGCCUUCCUCUGACGAGGCUGUGCUCUCCUCUGAUGAGACCUGUGGUCCCAGCCAACACCCUGACAGGAGAGGGACCCUCAGGAAAAGCUCCGCCUCCUCAGUUGUUGCAGGAGGAAUCUUGGAAGAGCUGUCACUGGCUGGCCUGGGACUACGUGGACCUCCCGGCACCAUCACUGUGGCUGAAGAGGACUGGUGGUGGCCGGGGAGUCUGAAUCGAGGGACCAGAGGUGCAGGGCCUGGGAGCUGAGGAACUGUCCUGCUAGUCGCUGAGAGCCGCUAUGCAGAGUGUCAACUGGCCAGAAUUUCCAGCACGUAAGAGGAAAGUAAGGAGCCGGGCGUGGGGCUCAAUGGCAGAGGGUUGGCUUAGCACAUGCAGACCCUGGGUCCAUCUCCAGCACUGAAAAGAAAAAAGGAAAUAACAAAAGAGAAAAAAAAUAAAUAGCCAAAACCAAAACUAAAACCAAAAAACAAAAGAGCAAAGUGGUCCCGCUGGUUUCAGACAGGAAGAUGCAGGGUGGGGCGCCAGCCAGGGCACUGUCAGCCCUGGCUCCAUUCUCCAAAGGGAAACGGGGCGCUGGCAUCAGAGGGCACUGAUGUUGAGCAGACCAAGCGAACAGGUGUCACCUCGGCCAGCUGGCUGCCUGCCCAGUCUCUGAGGCCAUAGCCGAGCAGCUGUGGCGGCAGCAGCAGGGUCACACCCUGAAUUGGGACCUUGCUUGGCCAGUUCCUGCUCUGUAACCAGUCCCUUGCCUUUUCUAAACUUUGGUUUCCUCAUUUGUAAAACAGGGAUAAUAACUCCCACCUGCACCGGUAAUGUGGGAUUAAAGAUUAAGAACCUGGUACACAGCAAGGGCUCAAUACAUAAAUAGUAGC
ensembl:lncRNA